GUACGUGCCCAUUUUACAGCAGCAUUGCAAAAUCUUCCCUCUGAACGUGGCGCCCUCUCUCCUACAAAGUGGCCAAUACAAGUAGCGUCUAAACCUUCACAAAGAUAUGUACACGCUCUAUAGUAUGCACACCUCCUUGGAUUCUCUCCAUCCUGUGCCUGUGAGAUUCCCACCGCUUGAGCUGUGCAUCAGGACAAGUCUUGUCUGACCUUUUGCUCUGCCUCUAGUGAUUCCCCCCUAGGAUGUAAGAUGUGUUUGAGGUAGUCUAUAUAUAUUUUUUCUCUUGUUUCUGUUGGGGGUACCUUUUUCGCUGUGUUGUUUUUUUCUUGAUAGAUAUCAGUAAAAGCUGUAUUAUAGUGGUAUAUAGAUAAACUUCAAGGGAAUAAAUCUUAAUGUUGGUAAACUCAUGUCUUUGAAAUAUUUUCUGCAGUCAGGAUUUUAAGAUAAAGAGUUUCGUUUUCCAAAUGAGUACAUUUAUCUUUGAAUGAGAUUCAGCUUUUGUGAUGAAUAAGAACUAAACUGCAACGUAGAAAUGGUAUCAAAUGCAAGAACAUCUUUAAACAGUUUAACUAAUGCACAUGGUCUUAGUCAGAGAUCUUUGUUGUAAAUUCAAUCAAGUGGUUCCAGACAUGUCUUUGGUCUAUUAUGCUGUGUGACUGUGUCCUAAAGAGACUGCAUGAUGUUAGAUUCCUAGUAAAAACUUAAGCAGUUGAGUACGUUGAAGAUGGGCAUGACGCAUGGUCAAAGUUGGAUCCUCAAUAUCAAAGUUCCUCUAUCAUGUUCGUUUCCAUUACUUAUUUUCGUUUUAUUCUUGCUACUCUUUAUGACUAUAUUCAGCCUACCGUACUGCAUUAUAUGAUCUUCUAUUAGAAAUGUUAGGGCAUUAAUCAUAUAUGCGCACAUGGCUGUCACUGUCAGACUGUGUUUAAGAACCGAGUUAUUUGUAUGGUAGCAUAGCGUUGGAGAUUUGGAGUUUCUACUCAAAUCUGGGAUUCACUUGGAACAAGCGAAAUCCUGAAAUUUAUCUGACCAUAAUUUUAGUUUAAGUAUGUGACUUAACAUAUUCCUGGAGUUAUUAUAGCAGUGCAAAAGCUGAGAAUAUGGUUCUCAAAUUUUUAAAAAGGGGCAUCUUAUACAUUUGCAUAUAAUUUUUUAAUAAGACGAUCUUAUACAUUUGCACAAUACCUUUUUUUCCUCCCUUUUCUCUCUCCCCCAUCUCUCUUCUUUGUUUGCCGUUUGUGUAAAUUUUAUUCCUCUUAAUACAAAGCUGCGCAAUCCUUUUGCGUAUUCCC
rnacentral:sRNA from 1 species